CCCUGACCUCGGAUCAGACGUGAUUACCCGCUGAACUUAAACAUAUCACUAAGCGGAGGAAAAGAAACUAACAAGGAUUCCCUCAGUAACUGCGAGUGAACAGGGAAAAGCCCAGCACCGAAGCCUGUGACCAGUUGGUCACUAGGCAAUGUGGUGUUUAGGUCGUUCCGCAGAAGCACUGCUCCACCCCAAGUCCAUUAAUGAGUACGGUAGUACAUACAUGGCCCAUGGAGGGUGAAAGGCCCGUUCGGGUGGAGAUUCGGCAGGCCAGUGCUUCUCUGGGUAGAC
rnacentral:rRNA from 1 species